GGCAGGUCACAGCGGCCCAGCUCCGAGUGGGGGGGCGGCUGGGGGGUCCGGAGUGGGACCCCCCCCCUCCGCCUUUUGCUGGCCCCGUGCAGUGCAGACCCUCGUUGUCUUCGCUCGGCCGGUGGGCACGGACCCCUCUCCCCUCUUCUCCCACGCGGACUUUCCUUCUCCCCUUGGGCGCGGACUCCCCAUCCCGGGGCGCCGGGUGCCUUUUCUCUCCACUCAGGUCUAUGUGCAUCCUGAGUUUGCAGAGCGUUUGAUGGAGAUAUCUUGCAGUUGGCUCUUUGUGUCUUCCCCACUAGAAAGCCAGCUGCACCCGGCAGUGGUCUUCAUCUGUCUCAUCCACCGCUGAUUCAUUCCUACCAAGAACAGGGCCUGGCACACACCCCACCUCUGAUGCACAGCUGGGAAGUUUGCAGUUUUUCAGCCGUCCCUACAGUGCUUUAGCGGGCAUCUUGAACAUGUGUCUUUGUAAAUCAGAACUGCCAGACCCAGAUAGUUUUGUUGAUGAAUUCCACCCAACAGUUAAGGAAGAAAUGAUGCCAGUUCCACACUUUCAGAAAAUAAAAGGCAGACACACUUGAUUCAUUUUAUAAGGUCAGCAUUACCUGGAUUCUAAA